UUGGCAACAACAUCGCUGUAAACUAGUAAACAUGGCGCCUCCCUCGGAAUGUCAUCCUUUGGGAGGUGGCUACUGUACAAACUUCCUUAAAAUUUUAUUCUUAUCUUCACUCUUAUCUACUGCACACGGCUACUACCAGGGGCCUCGUGAAAGGUGCUCAAUACCUCAAACACUACAGGGAGAGUGGUACUCCAAGGAGCGCGGCGAUGACACCUAUACGACCAUCGACAACAACCGCAUGUCAAACCGGGGCGACUGCCUUCACCUCGUCAAACAAUCUAACGACAUCUUUACCAUCAUAUUUGAAUACAGUGCCUGCUACUACUGCGUUCGCAUAUUUGUACGGACCCUGAACGUUCUGGAAAAGAUAGAAACUGGAUGCGUCAACCUGAAUGAUGGUGAAACACCUGAUGUGAAGACUGUGUGCCGCUCCCUUGAUGUCAAGCAAGAGAGGAUCACCCUUUUCUCAACCAACCCAACGGCAAAGAACUGCCGUUCAAGCCUGGAAGGCGUGUGGAAGUUUGCGUACCAAAACACGUACAAGUUCACGGGCGAGUGUAAGCAUCCAGACGCCAACAUAACAGCCUGUCAGAUGCCGGGCACCCAGUUCUUCGUCGUCAACCAGCAGUUCACCAUUAACUACAAGCAGUGUGAGGGCAUGCUGGAGACCGAGGAGGGAGAGGUUCAGUACAAGUGCCUGGGGGACUGGUACGUUGGCAAGAACCACUACUUCGCUGUCAUGAACACUCGUGAGAGUCGUAUUGACGCAAAGUAUCGCUGCUUUCUUGCAAACAGAGAUGAUGACAUCUACCUCGGUGUCUCUAUUGAACCUGAGUGUUCAUCUCUCAAAACACCUCAGGAGUCGCCUGAGCGCUACCGCAUGGAACAAGUGAAAACCGAGAUCGUGCAGCCAAGCUGCACGCUGCCCGACAACUUCACCGGCAUGUGGCUCAACACGGCCAACUUUGACGCACAGGUCAUCAUUAACAAAACGCACAUAGUCGAAACCUGGAAGCCGGAUACCGGUCGGAUCAAGGAGCAGAUCUACGUGUGCGUUGAAGCACGGGAGAACAGAUACCUCAUGGCUCGUCAUGGCAUUCACGGCUGCCAGAGGGACUUUGUUUGCUUCAACUUUGUGCCGCGGCACCACAGUGUCAUCCGUUACAGGAAAGGCAAGGAAAUGAUCACAGAUGAGUUCUCAACUGUCUGCUCAUGGACCAUGUUCCCUGACAAACAGCAAUGGCGCUAUGACAUCCUCAUCUCGAGAGAGCCGGUCUCCAUCAAGUGCCCGGUGGCAGGAAAGUUCCGGUUUGACCAGACGGGCGACAUACCUUUCGAGACGCGAAUCCGCGGAGGGGUCACCCAGAUUCCGCGGCCCAAUGUAUACUGCAAGGAGAACAUCUCUGACUUCUCCGUGUGCGACAAGGAUCAGAAGAUCAUCCUCAUCGAUGCCAACUACUGUAUUUCUGUUGACUACUACGGCCGGCCUGUGGACAUCUACAGUGAACCUGACUACGAGCUCAAGUGUAUUGCCUUCUGGAAAGAAAACUUACGGUCAUACCUCAUCACCUACAACGAGGAGGAUGCUUACAGCAAAUAUCGGUGCUGGGUGUACCAACGAGCAGACCUAAACCGUGUCCUCAUGUCCCAGUCUGUGGGGGCAUUUUGCCACGUCCUGCAAGAUGUCACCUCCAACAACUACACCGAAGGCGCUGAAGUUGCCCUGGACAUGGUCGAAUAUGAGCGUGAACAUGAUGACUGUCCGAUGUACUUCGAUGACGGAUCCAAUCCGUAUCAGCAGAUUGCCGAGCAGGCGGCAAUUCUGAUGGGCUCUGCAACUAGCCUCACGAGCCACAUAUCAGUCGUACACCUUAUGCUUCUGGUAUGUCUGCGCUCCUUGUUGUGACUGCAAAGCAGCUGAUAGAGCAAGGAUUUUAUGCUGUGGAUCUGAAGAGGCUCAAGACUUAAGACUAUGCCAUGAGCAAAGUGCAAGACAAGUUGUGUGGCCAGUCGCACGCCUCUUGGUAGACUUG
rnacentral:misc_RNA from 1 species